GGAGGGGUUUCGAACGCAAAGAGGGAGGUUUGUCUGAUGGUGCGAACGGUGGAACGUGAAAUGCGAGGUGAGCGCGUGAGCAAAGGAUGGGUGGGAGGUUAUAACCAACGGAUAGUGGGGGAGAACUCGACGAGGUGGCGGAAGAGAAGGGAAGAGAAGGGGUUUGAUACGGACUUUGGACAGCCAUGGCUCAGUUCGCUUCCGUUCCGUGUUGUGUGAGGUUCUCGUGCGUUUUCAAUUGCAGUCGUCGUUCCGCACACUGAUCCCUUCGCGAGAGAGAAGCUUGCUCCCUAUUGCCGUAACUCCUUGUCUCGCCUGAGGAAGUUCGCUACGAAAUCGUUCACGCACGGUGUACGUUGUUACAGGAAGUGCUUAUAAGUGAGUGUAUGAAGUGCUUGAUAUUCCGUCGAGUGCUUUGUGUUUUCGAGAUAAACUUCGCGCGUGAUCACGGAUAGAAGAUCAUGUUAACGAGAAAUCAUUGCUGUUUGCUGGCGUCGCUGUUACUUGUCUUUGGACGUAUACAAGAAAUCCUCUGGUCACAGCAGCAGUGUGAAGUCGAGCGUUAUCAAACAAAUUCAUCUCCGAUUCUAUGAUGAAAUGGAAGAACGAGCGACCGAAGAACAUUAUCGAUAUAGCGGACAACUGUUACUCCUGGAGGAGGUAUGAUGACCAGGUAACAUGAUUUACAUAACAUGUGUGUACCAAAUGCUACUUUCAUUGAAUUUCUUACUAUGUCGCCGUCAAUAUCAAUCUUGGCAACUGAUUAUCAAAAGCAUCAACAUACCAGCUAUUGUAAAAGUUAACGACACCGAUUACAUUAUCCUCGAUUGCGAUUACGACCUCGAGAAUACAUCGAGCAAAGGCCUUGUUGUUAAAUGGUUUUUUAACACCAACCAGGUGGUCUACCAAUGGAUAUAUGGCAGAAAUCCUCUGGCGGACGAACCUGCUGCAAAAUACAUCGAUCUAACCUAUAAAGCCAGCGAUGAUCCGUACACGGAACACCGAGCCAUAAAGUUGAAUAAUCCUGGUAUUGAUCUUACCGGCGAAUAUACAUGCGUUAUAUCUACUUUUGCAGAUGAACGAACGGCAAAUGCGUCAAUGAUAGUGUAUUCUACAGAGGAAAAGUUUGAACUUGCAUAUAGGAAAAAGAUUAUACAUGAUAAAGAUGGAGUUGAAAUAACAUGUAUUGCUGAAGGACUUUAUCCUCAACCAACUUUAAACGUCUCCGUCGAAAAUAUUCCGGAGAUGCAAACUGAGAACCCCACCAUUACACUGCGUGACGAUGGGCUAUACAAUAUCUUAUUGCGUGUCACCUUACUGGAUGAAGAUUUACCAGAAACAACGAUUAUUAAAUGUUUGCUCAGCAUAUCGAAAGCAUCGUACAACGUUUCUCGCAAAACUGUCUAUUAUACUGGAACAUUUACUACUACGUCAACUACUACAACGAAGUUACACCGUAAAAUGGAAAUUCAGGCCUUCGAUAAGUCGAAAUCUAAUAAUGAUGAAGAUAAUUCCGCUGGUUACAUAUCAAUCAAUCUUCCAUUGUUAUCAAUACAAUUAGCCGUUCUCAGCGCAUUUCAACUAAUAAUAACUUAAAAGUGAUACAGUAUUGUUAUAGUCUUCAUCUUCAAUGUCAUUAUCGUCUUCAUCUUCGUCGUCGUCGUCUUCGUCAUCAUCUUCGUCUUCGUCUUUGCAAGAUGGCUUGGAUGUCAAGUACGAAUAUGUGCUACUAAAUAUUGUUACCAAUGCUGGCAAAGUGAGUGAGAUUGAGAUAAUUAACAAGCAGGAAUGAGCUGCUUAAGAAUAACAUCACAACUCAAAAUCAGGAAGAAAGAGAUAAUAAGCCAGUGAAAGCAGAAAUGAACAAUAUACGAGAAACGUCAUGCGUUAUAAGAAAAAAUGAGUCCUCCAAGGAUGGCGCAAGAGGAAUAAGUGGGGAUGGGGGAUAACGUCACGCGCUAGAGUUCAGGAGGUUAAUUAUGAAACUUUUCCCUAGGGCGGAAAAAUGAAAACUUUCUCCAUUAAUUUUAAUGUAAAGAUUUUCACUUUCCGCGUUUCGGCUCUAGGAAAAACUUUCAUGAUUGACCCUCUGGAAAGCGUAGUUAUCAGCGGCACUAGAGGAGAAAAGGAUGAAAUCGAACAUGCACAAUUAAAAUCUAUACAAUCUACAAUCCAAAAAAUUAAAACUGAAAAACCAAAAAAUGAAACUAAAAAAACUGACAAAAUGUUAGAAAUAGCAUAUGAAGAUAAAUUUAAUCAUGGAAUGACAAUAAAAUUAAUAGAGGUUGUCCAAACAAAUAUUUAUCUUCUUAAUGACAAAAUGCACGCCAACAAAAAAAAUCUGGGCUAAUAUUGCAACAGAAAUGCAAAAUAGUGGUUAUUUGAUAAAUUAUAAUGGAACAAAAAGCGCUGAAAAAUGCCAUCAACGUUGGCAGAACUUAGAGAAGAUGUAUCAUGGACAUUGCCGUUACAUGAAAUCUACUGGCACAGAGAAGAAGAAACCUCCAAAAUAUUUUGAUGAAAUGCAUGACCUCAUUGGAAAGAAACAUAGCAGUAAACCAGUAAAUUUACUGGAUUCACUACAAGAUUUAAAUGCAUCUACAGUUUCUAAUACUUGUAGCAAUGAAAAAGAAAAUAAUGAAAAUACAGAUAGUAGUGAAGAAUGUAUAAUAAAAGAUAGCACAUCAAAGAAUACAAAAAAGUAGGAAA